rnacentral:lncRNA from 1 species
AUUUCAUUCUGUAUAUAGAAUUUCGAUUUAAACUGCUUUCCAAUAAGAAUUUCUGAUAGGACCACCAGUAAAUUUUGAAAUAUAUUUAGACUAAUAAUUAAUUGUAUGGGGGGCUGGAAGAGUUGAAUGUACCUAAUUUUAAUAAUAAAUUAAAGCAGUAGUGAGGUUAAAAACAACUCUACUAUAAUGCAUUACAUUUCUAAUUUAAUUUGUAUGGGUGGUGAUCUUCAGUAAAAGUGUCUUUUAAUCCAUCACCCCAUCCAUUUAAUUUUGAAAAAGCCAUAACCCUAUACCAGAAUCUGUAUAUUCCUAAGUCUUUCAUUCCUUAAGAUAUUUUGGUAAGAACUUUAUUUAUUAUUAUUGUAGAUAAUUAACAUAAAACCAGAAUUAUUUAGAUAGACAUAAACAGAUUUGUUUUACUUAUAAACACUGAAAAAAAUAUAUUACCAAUGCAUUUUGAAGAUCUGGAUAAUGCAGGAGUUAUUUCCCCUUAACCAGUCAUUGAUAUAUUUUGCAAUGCCUGUGGGUUUUCUUUCUAAUACAUUGUCAUCAUAAUUUUUUUUUUUAAAUAUAUGUUUAAAUUGUUACUGCAAUAUUCAUGAUGGUAUAUUUGUCUUUUCCAGUUGUAUAUUUUUUAAAUGUUUCCUGGAUACUGUAGGAUCAGCAUAUUUUCAACCAUCCUUUUGUCUGGUAAUACAACCCUUAAUUAUUCAGAUCUACCAUACCUGCCAACCUCUGAAACCUUCAAAGAGAGAGAUCAACCCCCACCCCCUCUAAACUGAAAUCAUGUAAUUUUGAUUAUUUGGCAUAGCAGCUUUUUAACAGUCCUUAUUUUCUCAAGCCAUACAUUUUUGAAGUUUAUAUUAUUCUAUGUGAACUGUUUUGUCAUUUUAACAAUGCAUUACAUAAGUAGCAUUGAAAUGCAUUACAUCUUAUAAUGUAAACUUUUUUUGUUUCCAAUUUUGACAUCAUCUUUAAUAUCAUUGUGAAAUAUUUUAAUGUAACUUUUUUUUAACUUGGUACAUAUUUCUUUCCUUUUGGGAUCUGCUUACAUUAGCAGACUUGUAACAUAUGUUAGUAUUUUACAAUUGUUUGAAAACAUAGUAUAAAGAAUAUACUUAUUUUUGGUAAAAAAACAUAUUUUAUACUCUUAUUUUUAUUGAACUGUAAUUUACAAAUUAAUGCAUAAAAAGACAAUAGGAAUUGCCAAAAAUUGAAGGAAAACAGACCAUAUCACCCAUGAAACAGACAGCUUUAUAGAUAUACAAACAAUACCAACACUUAUGAACAACACAUUAAGCUUCAGAAAUAUGUCCUGAAGACACAUGUUUAGUUGGAUCUAACUGCAAAGUAUUUGAUGAGCAUAUUAAAUAUUUACAAAUGAACUAAAAUUGUAUAAACUACCUAUUGAGCAAUUAAAAAAUAGAAAUCAAGGUAUAUAAUAUUAUUCUCACAAUGUCCAGAUGUUAUGGUUUAAGAAAAAGAAAUGAUAUGAUGAAUAGAAUUUAUAUUCAACUUUUCACAAGUUUGAAAUUUUCUUAAAUUUAUCUAGUUUUCCGAGCAACAAUAUGAAUGUAUAUUGCCCUAUAUGUAAAUAUAAAACUGUCCAUUUUCAUAUGUAACAUUACAAUGUUGGGUACCAUUUGAAAAUAUAACUGAAGUGGUUUGUCAUAUCUGUUGUUUUUGUUAUUUGUUUACAUUUGUGUAAAUAUGAAGUCAUAAUUU